CAGAGGAAGUCCUGCACUGUACAUUAGAAAGCAGAGCAAUGUUCAUUUCAGCUCUGUUUGGAAUCAUAACAUUGAAGAUAUCCCAAAUGCAAAUCCUAAAGAAAGCAGAUAAAUAUUGCUAUGCUUUGACUGACUAUAGGUUGUUAAAAGACUGAGAAUGAAAAUCAAAAGAUUGCAUAACAUCCAAGAACUCAUAAGGAUUUUUUUUUUUUUAACGAAUAUGGACUAUGGCUAAAUCCAUUAGAGCUUGAAAGAAACUGUCUUUGUGCUUCUAAGCAGUGGCUUGGAGGCAAGAAGGCCAGCAAGACAAGAGUGUGCCAAAGACAUCUCAGCUGGAGACGAGUGUACUGUACACAAGUACAGAAAACAAAACCAGUGGGGGAGGGGUUAGAAUUUGUCCCUGACCUUGGACAAUAAACCAAAAUUGCAUUGUG